CUGGGCAGUCCGAUUCUGUCGGGCCCUUUGCCAUCUACUUGAGUACUCCUCACUGCUUCACUGGUCAUAGAGAACCUCCUAAACAUCUCUCCACAUCCAGUGAUCCAUGAAAGACUUUUAGUCCGAUGGUGACUCGAAGCUGGAGAACUCAAUGGCGGACUGUCUGAAGUGGUGUAGCCUAUCACAAAACCGACGUGUGGCCACCUCCUUGAAGCUCCGAUGGCCG
rnacentral:lncRNA from 1 species